UCCCCUAUAGCUCAGUUGGUAGAGCAACGGACUUUUAAUCCGUUGGCCGUAGGUUCAAGUCCUACUGGGGGAAC
rnacentral:tRNA from 1 species